AACCUUCUCCCUUUUUCUGAAACAAUAGCAUAACAUCACAACAAAGAAAAACAUACGAUAAAAUAUCAAUUGGCAGACUUAACUCAAUCAAAAAACCUAUGAUUAAACAAUGAACGAAUAAAUUUGAUCUGCGAUAUCUGAAUACAAAUGCACAGUUAAUUAAAUAUUAGAGACAAACAUUCAUGACCAAAAAGCUAACAAACAAAUUCAAACACAG
rnacentral:lncRNA from 1 species